rnacentral:rRNA from 1 species
GGUUGAUCCUGCCGGACCCUACCGCUAUCGGGAUGGGAUUAAGACAUGUUAGUCGUGCGCCUUCUAGCCAUGCUGGAGGCGCGGCAUACAGCUCAGUAGCACGUGGCUAACCUGCCCUUAGGACAGAAACAACCCCGGGAAACUGGGGUUAAUUUCUGAUAGGUGAGGAGUCCUGGAAUGGUUCCUCGCUCAAAGGGCGUUUAGGGCAUGCUUCUAGACGUUGCCUAAGGAUGGGGCCGCGGCCGAUCAGGUUGUUGGUGAGGUAAUGGCUCACCAAGCCUAUAACCGGUGCGGGCCGUGGGAGCGGGAGCCCGGAGAUGGGCACUGAGACUAGGGCCCAGGCCCUACGGGGCGCAGCAGUCGCGAAAAUUUCGCAAUAAGCGAAAGCUUGACGGAGCUAUCCCGAGUGCCCUCCGCUGAGGAGGGCUUUUCGCCAGUGUAGAUAGCUGGUGGAAUAAGGAGAGGGCAAGUCUGGUGUCAGCCGCCGCGGUAAUACCAGCUCUCCGAGUGGUGGGGAUGAUUAUUGGGCCUAAAGCAUCCGUAGCCGGCUGGGCAAGUCCCCCGUUAAAUCCAGCGAAUAAUCGCCGGCUUGCAGGGGAUACUGCUCGGCUAGGGGGCGAGAGAGGCCGUCGGUAUUUCCGGGGUAGGGGUGAAAUCCUAUAAUCCCGGGAGGACCACCAGUGGCGAAGGCUGUCGGCUAGAACGCGCCCGACGGUGAGGGAUGAAAGCUUGGGGAGCGAACCGGAUUAGAUACCCGGGUAGUCCAAGCUGUAAACGAUGCAGGCUAGGUGUUAGGGCGGCCACGUGCCGCUCUAGUGCCGCAGGGAAGCUGUUAAGCCUGCCGCCUGGGGAGUACGGCUGCAAGGCUGAAACUUAAAGGAAUUGGCGGGGGAGCACCACAAGGCGUGAAGCUUGCGGUUUAAUUGGAGUCAACGCCGGG